CCGGUUUUAGAAUUCGACGAAAUCAUAUAUUGGAAGAUGCUUUCAGUCAGAUGAGUGCAUUGUCUGAAGGUGAUCUUCGAGGAUCGAUACGUGUGUCUUUUGUUAAUGAAUUUGGAGUUGAGGAGGCAGGAAUUGAUGGUGGUGGUAUUUUUAAAGAUGUCAUGGAGAACAUUACACGGGCAGCCUUUGACGUGCAGUA